rnacentral:rRNA from 1 species
UACGGAGGGUGCAAACGUUGCUCGGAAUCAUUGGGCGUAAAGCGCACGUAGGCGGCUUUUUAAGUCAGGGGUGAAAUCCUGGAGCUCAACUCCAGAACUGCCUUUGAUACUGAGAAGCUUGAGUCCGGGAGAGGUGAGUGGAACUGCGAGUGUAGAGGUGAAAUUCGUAGAUAUUCGCAAGAACACCAGUGGCGAAGGCGGCUCACUGGCCCGGUACUGACGCUGAGGUGCGAAAGCGUGGGGAGCAAACAGG